AUUCUGGGAUUUUAAUUCUGAUAUUAGUAGGUUUUGGUGAUGUUAGGAACGUACAAGUACUUGUCAGGGAUAAUGAGGAACAAGCAGUUAGAUAUGGUGAGGCUUUUGGCAGAAAUGAAGUGUUGGAAUUACACACAAAACCGCUCCAUUCUUCAUGCCUUGCGGCCUUUGCAGACCCAUUAGGCUCCUCGGCUGGGCAAUGAGGCAAAUCAGUUGCUCCUUCUAUUGAAGUCAGGUAGUGCUGGACGAUCAACUUUUCAAGCAAACCGCAUGACUAAGCAUGUACUUGGAGUUAAUGUGUUGUUCUGCACCAGUCUAUUCCUCCACAUCAUCAACAUCUACCCAUCU